GACGAACGCUGGCGGCGUGCUUAACACAUGCAAGUGGAGCGACGAACCAGGCUUCGGCCUGGGGCAGAGCCGCGAACGGGUGAGUAACACGUGGGUAACCUGCCUCGAUGACCGGGACAACCCGGGGAAACCCGGGCUAAUACCGGAUGUGCUGUCCUCACAUCAGUGAGGGUUGGAAAGGAAGCUUCGGCCUCCGCAUCGAGAUGGGCCCGCGGCCCAUUAGCUUGUUGGUGAGGUAAAGGCGCACCAAGGCUGCGAUGGGUAGCUGGUCUGAGAGGACGAUCAGCCACACUGGGACUGAGACACGGCCCAGACUCCUACGGGAGGCAGCAGUGGGGAAUCUUGUGCAAUGCGCGAAAGCGUGACGCAGCAACGCCGCGUGGGGGAAGAAGGCCUUCGGGUUGUAAACCCCUUUCAGGAGGGACGAAGGUUGGGCGGUGAAUAGCCGACCCGACUGACGGUACCUCCAGAAGAAGCCCCGGCUAACUACGUGCCAGCCGCCGCAGUAACAC
rnacentral:rRNA from 1 species